rnacentral:rRNA from 1 species
UACGUAGGUGGCAAGCGUUACUCGGAAUCACUAGGCGUAAAGCGCAGGUAGGCGGUUUGGUAAGUCUGUUGUGAAAGCUCCCGGCUCAACUGGGAGAGGUCAACGGAAACUGCCAGGCUAGAGUGUGGUAGAGGAAACUGGAAUUCCCGGUGUAGCGGUGAAAUGCGCAGAGUAUCGGGAAGAACACCCGUGGCUAAGGCGGCUCCCUAGUACGGUACUGACGCUGAGACGCGAAAGCGUGGGGAGCGAACAGG